rnacentral:rRNA from 1 species
GACGUAGGGCGCAAGCGUUGUCCGGAUUUAUUGGGCGUAAAGAGCUCGUAGGCGGCUUGUUGCGUCGACCGUGAAAACCCGCGGCUCAACUGCGGGCUUGCGGUCGAUACGGGCAGGCUGGAGUUCGGUAGGGGAGACUGGAAUUCCUGGUGUAGCGGUGAAAUGCGCAGAUAUCAGGAGGAACACCGGUGGCGAAGGCGGGUCUCUGGGCCAAAACUGACGCUGAGGAGCGAAAGCGUGGGGAGCGAACAGG